AGCUAGAAGAAUAAAUUGGUGGACUAUUAUCCUAUGCAAUCAUCUGCGACCAGACGAGUAGGAAACCAAAGCAAAAUGUUUGUCUACCAUCUGGAAGUGGAAGGAUGCUGUGUUGUAGAGUUUCUCAAGCUUCUCUCUCCCUCCCUCAAGCAGGACUAUUGGCUCACUGUCCUGGAGGCCAGCUUCUUCAUUGCUCCAGACUGAAGAUGGGAGAGUUGAAGGACGUGGUUUGGCAGGAUGUUUGAGCCAUUGUGAAGGUGAUGCCCAAAAUGGAUCUUGCCAGCAAAGGUUUUCCCUUCAUAAUCGGUGGAACAACUCCAGUCCGAGAGCUGCAGACUCUUGCACAGGAAACCCUGCCAGGCCCACAGCAGCAGCCACUGGUACAGUCGCAGGUCACAACCAAAGUUCAGCCUGGGCCUCCACCUGCCUCACAUGUUGCCUGAGCUGCAGCAGUACAACCUGAAUUGCCCUGACCCAUUUCAAGCAGAUGGACGAGAUGUUGGACCAGGACGGCAUGUCUGAAGUGAUGUUCAACAUCAGCCGUGUUGCAGUUGCGUGUCCUUCCCAGCACAGACGCUGCUGUCCACUGUGUACCUUGGGAACACCGCUGUAUUGUGGGCUUAUUGCUGGUGAGCAACGCAGAGGGAAGUCCGGUUUUGCUACAUUAAUCUUCAAAGGAAUUUAGGAUUCAGUGUCCUCGCCACAAAAAAACAUGUUCCAGACACAUACUGCAAAUAUGCACGAAACCUAUCGCAUGUAUUUCUAAUAGUCCUUGUCAUAGCAUCCGGCUGUUCAGUAAACCCUUUGAGUCAGGGCAGUUGCGUACAUCACAGGAAUGACUUACUGAAGCUGUUUUGCAGAGGUGACUGCAAUGGGUUUGACAGUGCCUGUGGAUUCCUCCUGGAGGGAUUUCAGUUUUUGUGAUUGCUUUGCAUCAUCAGAGGCCAAAGCUCAUCUUAAAUAUCUGCAUGUUCUCUGUGAGGUUCGGUCAGCCAGCAGUGAGCCUCAGGCUUGGUAAUGUGUACGUUUGGUCAAAGGUUGGGGGGCUAAGCAAUAUGACACAAAAUUCGUAUCGUGAUAGUCGUAACCCUAAAUCCCUGUAAACAAGAUUGUCUUUUGCAGAAAUGUAACCCAACGUCACCUUGUGUUGGCCAAUCAUGUAACCGGCGGUCAGACUUGGCAGUCUGUUGUCAAGGCAGUGUGUGUCCGGUAUAGUAAACCUGCCUGACACAAGAACGUUUUUAAACACGGAGGGUAAAAAACCGAAACGCACGCUCUUUAUUCACCAGGAGUUUGUGCAACGAGCUCCAGCACAAAGCAGUCCCUCGCUCUCUCUUCUUUCUCCUUGAAAUGAAGCUGCCUUCAAGUGCGGUUGGAAAUUUCUAUCUGUAAACGAUCUGAGGGAAAA